AUGUCGGGAGGUGGCCGGCCGCAGGCCGCGCAGCAGAUCGUGCAAUCGGUGCAGAAGUGCGUUCCGUUGGCCCCGGAGCGUCCGCCCUUCGCCGUCCCCGCCGAAUACCACCGGUUCCCCUUGCCGCCGUCCUCCUCCGCCCCGGCAGCAGCAUCCCGGGGCAGCGCUGGCGGCGAUGUCGAGGAGGGGAUCGUCAUCAGAACGCCCCUAAAAAGAAAAGCUCCAUGUGGAGAAAGUGAUGCCAUUGAGUCAACUGAAUGGAUGAUAACCAGCCCUGGGUUUACUGAAGGAGUUAGCAGUCCACAUAUGACCCCUAUCUCUGGAAAAGCUGCUAGGACAUACAAAUCAAAGGCUAAAGGCAGCAAAGAUGGACUGCAGACCCCUAUAUCAAAUGCUGGUUCACCUGGUACUCCACUCACUCCUGGUUCUUCCCGCGCUGAACAUUCAUUAGGGGAAUUGACUAAAAAGUUCAUCAGUUUGCUCAAGCAGGCUGAAGAUGGCAUUUUAGAUUUGAAUAAUGUUGCAGAGAUAUUAGUGGUUAAAAAAAGACGCAUAUACGACAUUACAAAUGUCCUUGAAGGAAUUGGGCUGUUAGAAAAGAAGCUUAAGAACAGAAUCCGUUGGAGGGGUUUGGAUGACUCAGGAGCUAACUUAGACAAUGAAAUUUCAGUUUUGGAGACAGAACUUGAAAAUCUUAAACUCCAAGAAAAAGCAUUGGAUAAUCGUAUAAGUGAAAUGCAUGAGAAGGUGAGGGAGUUAACUGAAGAGGAGAACAAUCAGAGGUGGCUAUACCUUACCGAGGAUGACAUCAAGGGAUUGCCCUGCUUUCAGAAUGAAACACUAAUCGCGAUAAAAGCACCUCAUGGCACUACACUGGAAGUACCAGAUCCUGAUGAGGCUGGUGAUUAUAUCCAAAGGAGAUACACAAUCGUAAUAAGGAGUACAAUGGGUUCCAUCGAUCUUUACCUGGUUAGUAAAUUUGAGGAAAACAUGGAAGAGCUGGUUGGUGUCGCAACGCCUCCAAGGCACGCAAAUGUGGCAGAACCUGCCUCCACAGACGGAUUCAUAGCAACAGAAGCUGGACAAAGCAGCAGAUCAAAGGACAAGUUGCCGAAUAUUCAGCAUAUCCACAGAACUCCAGAUCUAAAUGCUCAAGUUGGGGGGAUGGCAAAGAUAACUCCAGAAUUUGAUGUUGAUGCUGACUACUACCUUCUCACUGAUGGUGAUGCGAGCAGCAUUACAGAUAUGUGGAGAACAGCACCAGAAGUGCAGUGGGAUCAGUUCUUAGCUGAAGAGGCAACUGCCCCGCGCACACCCCAGCAACACCCAGCAGUUGUCGGUAAAUCCACAGCUGUAGGCCCAACCUGUGGAUAG
rnacentral:rRNA from 1 species